rnacentral:rRNA from 1 species
AACGAACGCUGGCGGCAUGCCUAACACAUGCAAGUCGAACGAAGCCUUCGGGCUUAGUGGCGCACGGGUGCGUAACGCGUGGGAAUCUGCCCCUUGCUGCGGAAUAACAGUUAGAAAUGACUGCUAAUACCGGAUGAAGUCUUCGGACCAAAGAUUUAUCGGCAAGGGAUGAGCCCGCGUAGGAUUAGGUAGUUGGUGGGGUAAAGGCCUACCAAGCCGACGAUCCUUAGCUGGUCUGAGAGGAUGAUCAGCCACACUGGGACUGAGACACGGCCCAGACUCCUACGGGAGGCAGCAGUGGGGAAUAUUGGACAAUGGACGCAAGUCUGAUCCAGCAAUGCCGCGUGAGUGAUGAAGGCCUUAUGGUUGUAAAGCUCUUUUACCAGGGAUGAUAAUGACAGUACCUUGAGAAUAAGCUCCGGCUAACUCCGUG